rnacentral:rRNA from 1 species
UACAGAGGGGGCAAGCGUUAUUCGGAAUUAUUGGGCGUAAAGGGCGCGUAGGCGGCUUGGCAAGUGGAUGGUGAAAUCCCUCGGCUUAACCGAGGAACUGCCGUCCAAACUGCUUCGCUUGAGACCGGGAGAGGUGAGUGGAAUUCCCAGUGUAGCGGUGAAAUGCGUAGAUAUUGGGAGGAACACCAGUGGCGAAAGGCGGCUC